GUGCUGGCUUAGGCAGCACAUAUGCUAACAUUGGAAAGAUACAGAGAAGAUUAGCGGCCCCUGGACAGGAUGAUAAAAUAGAAGUGUUGAUAUUGACUAUCUUU